UGGUCACAUCACAUUGAAAUACUGGUUCCCAUAUGAUCACCAAAGUUAAGCAAUGUCAAGCAUGGUCAGUACUUAAAUGGGUGACCACUUAGGCAUACUAGGUGCUGUAA